GAUGAACGCUGGCGGCGUGCCUAAUACAUGCAAGUCGAGCGAACGGACGAGAAGCUUGCUUCUCUGAUGUUAGCGGCGGACGGGUGAGUAACACGUGGAUAACCUACCUAUAAGACUGGGAUAACUUCGGGAAACCGUAGCUAAUACCGGAUAAUAUUUUGAACCGCAUGGUUCAAAAGUGAAAGACGGUCUUGCUGUCACUUAUAGAUGGAUCCGCGCUGCAUUAGCUAGUUGGUAAGGUAACGGCUUACCAAGGCAACGAUGCAUAGCCGACCUGAGAGGGGGAUCGGCCACCCUGAAACUGACCAACGGCCCAACCCCCUAAGGGGGGCAGCCGUAGGGAAUCUUCCCCAAUGGGCGAAAGCCUGACGGGGCAACCCCGCGGGAGUGAUGAAGGUCUUCGGAUCGUAAAACCUUUUUAUUGGGGAAGAAAAAUUUGUUAAAUAACUGGGCAAAUCUUGACGGUACCAAAGCAAAAAGCCCCGGCUAACUACGG
rnacentral:rRNA from 1 species